AGACAGACAGACAGACAGACAGACAGACAGACAAGACAGACAAGACAGACAGACAGACAGACAGACAGACAGACAGACAGACAGACAGACAGACAGACAGACAGACAGACAGACAGACAGACAGACAGACAGACAGACAGACAGACACUUAUUGUACCAGGAGAGAGAGACUAGUUUAACACUUAUUAUACCAGGAGAGACUAGUUUAACACUUAUUAUACCAGGAGAGAGAGAGAGAGAGAGACUAGUUUAACACUUAUUAUACCAGGAGAGACUAGUUUAAAAGGAAGUCAUUGUUCCCAGUAAUUACGACAUUUUCCCUCAUCUCUAAACUCUAUAUCACCGUAUACCACUGUACAUUUGUCAUAUCUUUGAAAU
rnacentral:lncRNA from 1 species